GCAAGUCGAGCGGAAACGAAUCUAGCUUGCUAGAAGGCGUCGAGCGGCGGACGGGUGAGCAACGCGUAGGAACUUACCCAGUAGUUGGGGAUAGCCCGGAGAAAUCCGGAUUCAUACCGAAUAAUCUCUACGGAGGAAAGGGGGUCUGUGGCUAUCGCUACUGGAUGGGCCUGCGUAAGAUUAGCUAGUUGGUGAGGUAAAGGCCCACCAAGGCGACGAUCUUUAGCUGGUCUGAGAGGAUGAUC
rnacentral:rRNA from 1 species